GAUGAACGCUGGCGGCGUGCCUAAUACAUGCAAGUCGAGCGAACAGAUGAGGAGCUUGCUCCUUUGACGUUAGCGGCGGACGGGUGAGUAACACGUGGAUAACCUACCUAUAAGACUGGGAUAACUUCGGGAAACCGGAGCUAAUACCGGAUAAUAUAUUGAACCGCAUGGUUCAAUAGUGAAAGACGGUUUUGCUGUCACUUAUAGAUGGAUCCGCGCCGCAUUAGCUAGUUGGUAAGGUAACGGCUUACCAAGGCAACGAUGCGUAGCCGACCUGAGAGGGUGAUCGGCCACACUGGAACUGAGACACGGUCCAGACUCCUACGGGAGGCAGCAGUAGGGAAUCUUCCGCAAUGGGCGAAAGCUUGACGGAGCAACGCCGCGUGAGUGAUGAAGGUCUUCGGAUCGUAAAACUCUGUUAUUAGGGAAGAACAAAUGUGUAAGUAACUAUGCACAUCUUGACGGUACCUGAUCAGAAAGCCACGGCUAACUACGUG
rnacentral:rRNA from 1 species